rnacentral:rRNA from 1 species
UACGAAGGGGGCUAGCGUUGUUCGGAAUUACUGGGCGUAAAGCGCACGUAGGCGGAUUUGUAAGUCAGGGGUGAAAUCCCGGGGCUCAACCUCGGAACUGCCUUUGAGUACUGCAAAUCUCGAGUCCGGAAGAGGUGAGUGGAAUUCCUAGUGUAGAGGUGAAAUUCGUAGAUAUUAGGAAGAACACCAGUGGCGAAGGCGGCUCACUGGUCCGGUACUGACGCUGAGGUGCGAAAGCGUGGGGAGCAAACAGG